UACGUAGGGUGCAAGCGUUGUCCGGAAUUAUUGGGCGUAAAGAGCUCGUAGGCGGUCUGUCACGUCGGCUGUGAAAACUCGGGGCUCAACUCCGAGCUUGCAGUCGAUACGGGCAGGCUAGAGUUCGGCAGGGGAGACUGGAAUUCCUGGUGUAGCGGUGAAAUGCGCAGAUAUCAGGAGGAACACCGGUGGCGAAGGCGGGUCUCUGGGCCGAUACUGACGCUGAGGAGCGAAAGCGUGGGGAGCAAACAGG
rnacentral:rRNA from 1 species